GACAGAGGAUGCAAGCGUUAUCCGGAAUGAUUGGGCGUAAAGCGUCUGUAGGUGGCUUUUUAAGUCCGCCGUCAAAUCCCAGGGCUCAACCCUGGACAGGCGGUGGAAACUACCAAGCUGGAGUACGGUAGGGGCAGAGGGAAUUUCCGGUGGAGCGGUGAAAUGCGCAGAUAUCAGGAGGAACACCGGUGGCGAAGGCGGGUCUCUGGGCAGUAACUGACGCUGAGGAACGAAAGCGUGGGUAGCGAACAGG
rnacentral:rRNA from 1 species